AUUUCAUAUAAAAACUAUCGCUUUUCACAGAUAUGGAAGGAGAUAUAAAGAUAUUUUCAGACUUUGUGAGUGUAGAACUGUAGAGGGAAGAUUCUAAUUUGGGUAGCAGGUGUUCUAACUGAAAGCAGAGAUGGACAAAAUAUAUUCUGCAGUCUACUAAUGACAGAAGACCACUAUUUUGAUGAAAAUGUAAAAAUUAUAAUUGUAAAAAUAUUUACAAAGUUACCGAUGAAAAUGAGGAUGGUGAAUGGAAGGGGUACCCACACUAAUUUACAUGAUUUUGUGCAAAGUUCUUUUUCACAAACAUAAUAAUUUUCAUGUGCUGGAAGCUACGUUUGCAUGUGAUAUAAUUGUUUUAUCUUCUAUGGUUUUUAUUCAGUUUAUUUAGUUUGAUGAUCAGUACCCAUCAUAGGGUAAGUAUUGUGGUUACGUCUGCCUAGGAGAAAUCAGCCAAGAAUUCUAACAAUGUACUAAAUCCUCUUCUCAAAGAUAUAAUCUGUAGAGAGCAUCUACUUCAUCUGACAAACAUGAUUUCAAUUCAGGAAAUAGCUCACAAUCACUCUAUUGCAUCUGACAUCAGCGGUACCCAUGCAGCCAUUCUGUGCAAACUCCCUGCUUUUAAAGGUCUUCCCAUCACUGUUAUUGGUCUCACAGAUGAUGAAGUAUGACACUCCAUAAACAAUGAGCUGGGCCUUUUGUAGGCUGCUUUGCUUUUUUUGGCUUCAAACUGCCACUGAAUGUCAAAUCAAUUUGGCUCUCAUUAGAACAGCUUUAUAUGUGCAAAUGUAUUUGUGUCUGGUUGCCACUUUUUUUCUAUUUUUGCCUUCCUUUCCCUUUGCUUUUUUUUCCUCCUCUCUCUUGGAUGAUGUCAUUUUUCUCUAAUCAAAGCCAACACCUGUUUCUCUAAAAUAGGAAUCUCUGUGUAGAGCUCUUUAUCACAAUCUGAGUACACCCUAAAUGGGCUCAUUAUGAAUCAAGUUCCCCCAGAACAAAGAGGAAGUGCUCUGUUACAGUGACAUUGUACAUCAUAGAGCCUGGACAAAGUCAAGAGCUGAUGUAACCUUGACUUUUGACAUCCCAAGAGACUGCUGUCUAGAUAGUGCAAGGUGUUUAAGCCACUGUCUUUGAUAAGUAGUGAAACAAUAAAUCUGACCCUGUGUUUAAGAACAGCUCAACUGUUACACAAUGCUGUAUUGUGCUUGUGGGGUUCUGGGUUUGGGGAUAUUAUUGUUGUGUUGUUUUUCUCCUAACCAAUUAAAGGGAAUACAGAAUUGC